CCUAUGGCGGCCCCAUCAUUGGCCUCGAAGGUCGACCACAGGGUUGUUAACGUUAAUCAACGAUCAACGCCGUUAACGUUAAAUUGUUUGUUGGUCAACGUUAACGCCGUUGCGUUGAUUUUCAUAGCAGUUAGCGUCAACGUCAACGGGUUGCGUUUAAUUAACGUUAACGGGUAUCGCUAAUUGAUCGUUGAUUAUGAGAUUCAUGAAGCUGCGGGGAAUUUUUUGUUAUUUCCAUAAACAAAUCGUUUCUAUGCAUGUCUGUUUCUAAGGAAAAUUCAUCAUUCUGCCUUCAACAGUCAGCUUGAUUGUACCGAUCUGUCACACGUUUUCGCUGUAUUUCCAAUCAGAAGGUGGCUUCCGUCGUCUCAAUCCAGUACUCAAGCGGCUCCAAGUCACGACACGCGCUGAUCCAUGAAAUUUCAGCACUAGGAUAUUGGAACGGGAUCAUUGAGUGGUCAUCAACAAGACCGACAGUGGAAUACCUAUAAACCGAGUUCUCGAUUGGAUAAACGACGACGCCGAUCUCAAGUGUGCCGCUUAAGUCUUCCAGAUGGUGUCUUUUGUUGACGGACAGAAAUUGAUCUGGUAGAAAGUAUCUACGAAUCAGUAUGAACACGAAACGACAAACUCUCUGACCACGCUGCUUCAUCAAGGAUCAAUCCAUGUCCAUAAGUACUGUAUGAACCAGAAAAAACUUACAGUUUGUUUUAAUUCAAGGCCAUGUUUUCAACAACACUUCGUAGCGCAGGCAGUUCUUGUCUGUAAAAGUAUAUUAC
rnacentral:lncRNA from 1 species